AAUUUGGGAUCCAGAUUUCACUAUCCAUGUGAUCUUUUGUGUUGAAUGAUUUGCUCAUUCAAAUCAUUUAUUCAUCAUUUGCUCAUUUAUUUGAUCAUUCAAAUAUGAAUGAUUUCCCAUAUUGUGUGUCACUUCUGGUGAGCUUAGGUAGUUCUACAUUAUAAUGUAAUUAUACUGUACUGCACAGUUUAUCAUAACCCAAAUUAUCUUUAUUUUUCAGUCCUGAGAAACGCUUUACAGCGAUUAUGUCCCUCAUAUAAUAUUAUCGUGAACAUUAAUCAACAUGUCUGCAAGUCUGGCUAUAGGCUUUUUGAUGUCAAACGUAAAGCUCAGCCGGAAAGCCGGGCUCAGGCAAAUAUCAAGAGAUCAGAAAAGAAAAAACAUAUACCUGUUGUACAUGAUGAGUUGCAUAAAAGUGUGCAAGAUUUACAACACCAAAAGAAAUUG